GCGUCGGUAGUGCAACGGUUAGCAUACGCUCCUGGGAAGAAUGAGAUUUGAUCUUCAAUCCCGGCUGACGCA